UUGUCACUCAACCCUUUAUUAUGUUAAUCACAUGUAUAAACUUCAAUUCUAGUAAGUGUUUUAAUGUGUAUAGGACAAACACUUUUAUCAUACAACCCUUAACCAUAUUCAUACGACACAUAUAUAUUAAUUUUUAUGUUUUGUAUGUGUACUUAUAUCAGGUAUAUGUCAUUUAUGUAUACAAAAAACAGGUGUACUAAACUGUUCAUUAUAAUGAUAAUCACAUAUUAAUGCAUAUGUUCCUGGUUGUGUUCUAAUUGUAAUCACACACAUACACAUGAUACACCAUGUUGGUGUACACAUAUAUGAUUUCUUCAGGUCUUUGACUAAUAAAUAUCUUACUACACAUUAUGUGCAUUUGAAGCUUCAACUGUUGAAUGCUUAUGUUCAAACACUAACUUCUUCGCCAAUAAUACAAGUUCACAUAUCUAACUGUUUUCGUUUAGGUUUUUUAUUACUAAAUAUCUGAUUACACAAUCUGUGCAUUUGUAACUUCGACUGUAUGGACUGCAGAAUAUUUAUGUUCAAACACACACUACUUCACAAAAAAUACAAGUACACAUAUCUACGUGUUGUUCUUCAGGUCUUUGACUAUUAAGGGAGCUACCAUUUGAUUUUUAUGGGGGGGGGCUAGGAUGAAAUUUGAAAAAAAU
rnacentral:lncRNA from 1 species